GCUUCCAGAGACUGACUGUGGAGUAAUUCUGUAUAGAGACCAGACCAGGCUAACAGGAAGCUAAAUCCAAGGCCCUUUGAAAGUAAAGAAGGAUGGAGACAAUUAUCUCUCACUUGGAACCCUUUUCCAUUUCCCCCCAUCAGCUGCUCUCCACUCCCAUACCCUAAUUCCUGACUCCUUUCUGUUGGUCUUUCUCACCUGCUGGGAGGAUGGGACUCCUGAGCUGAGCUCCAGCUGCGGGCUUCACCUAUAAUAGGAGAACUGGAGAAUGCUGAUGUUGUUUCCAUGACAAUAGAAAUCACUUGGAACAAGCCAACUUCAAAGUCUAAAUGACAGUUUGUCAGAAGUGGGUCUCCCACUGCCCAGAGACAGUAUCUUCUCUCCGCCUUGGGGAUGAUAGCUACUAUACUUAAGGUUUAUUGGUAUCAUCUGGAGACAGCCACAGGGGGCCAACUCUUAUUCACAAACAACUUAGAUCUUCCGCCUUGUCUCCACAAUCACAAUAAGCACCACAAGACUCCCUGGCAAAAGUAGUAAAACACAUGAAAAAGGCUGUCGAGUCUGGAGACCCAACUCUGCUAGCUUGCUGGUUGUGUGACUCAAAUCACUUACUUCUCUGAUGCUUUACCCUCAUCCGUAAAUGAAGAAUUAUGACAGCAAAGGAUUUAGAGUGUGAAGGUCCCUUGGUAAUUAUCUAGUCCAAAUCCUUUAUUUUAUAACCAAGGAAACAUCGGAAAAGUUAAAGAAUUUGCCUGGGGUCACACAGGAUGAGAGCCGGGACCAAAAUCAAAGUUCCCUAACAUUACAUCCAGGGCUUCUUCCCACUUCCCACAUUGACAAUACCAAACUCAUGAUUUUGGGGGAAAAGCACAGAUGAGAUAAUGCAUAAAGUAUCUUCGUAAACCUUAAAAUUCUAGGUAAAUGUUUAGUAUUGUUGUCGCUAACAUCACCGUUACCAUCAGGAUCAUGAAGCAUGAGCCUCCCACAGGUGGGAAGAGUUAAAGAACUUUUGUGGGAUUAUCCUUACCUUCAGGAGCUUUAGUAGAGAGAUUGACAAAAUCAUAAAGAACAUUCUCAAGCAGAUGCCUGCAGUGUUCCCUGCUGGUUCAACCUACCACAACUAUCUCAGGAUCCAGAGGUGACCAUCUUGGGGCCAUAGCUUCACAUCCUUGCUAAUCAUCUCAAGCACGGCCUACGGUUAGGGUAGCACUUUAGGAUGCAGACUAUAUACAGGUGGGCAAAUUGUAACACAUUUUGGUUAAAACUCAGCUUCGUUCAGCUUUCCAGAGCUUCUUCAAAAUUCUCUCUCUUCCCCUAGUCCUUGUAUGAAAGAAGGUCUUUUCUGCUUAUGAUCCAGGUAGACAAACCCAAUGUCAAGUUAAAGCAAUUCUGCAGUCUGAAAUGGGACAGAUGGAUGUCUUUUUCUGUUCUCUGGAUCCUAUGCUCAGAAUCUCCUGAGAAUCUCAAGAUUGUUCCUUCUGAGUUCUCAAUUUAUAUCAAAUGUUCAUCUGAUGAUCUGCCAAGCUCUGCUCUGGAUUGAAUCAACAGAGUAUAAACUCUUCAAAAACAGGGAUUGUUUCAUUUUUUUGUCUUAAAUAGUGAGAGGGUAGCACAUGCCUUGUGUGUAAUUGGCACAUUAAUGUUUGUUGAAUUGAUUCACAUACUUUUUAGUUUUUUUAAUCCCCUUUUUUUUCUUUUCCCAGACAUUUUGUACCUUGAUUUGCACUGCUGAAAUAAAUAGUGUCAGAGCAAAAGAA